AACGAACGCUGGCGGCAUGCCUAACACAUGCAAGUCGAACGAGACCUUCGGGUCUAGUGGCGCACGGGUGCGUAACGCGUGGGAACCUGCCCUUAGGUUCGGAAUAACUCCCCGAAGGGGGUGCUAAUACCGGAUAAUGUCUUCGGACCAAAGAUUUAUCGCCUUUGGAUGGGCCCGCGUUGGAUUAGCUAGUUGGUAGGGUAAAAGCCUACCAAGGCGACGAUCCAUAGCUGGUCGGGGAGGAUGAUCAGCCACACUGGGACUGAGACACGGCCCAGACUCCUACGGGAGGCAGCAGUGUGGAAUAUUGGACGAGGGGCGAAAGCCUGAUCCAGCAAUGCCGCGUGAGUGAUGAAGGCCUUAGUGUUGUAAAGCUCUUUUACCCGGGAUGAUAAUGACGGUACCGGGAGAAUAAGCUCCGGCUAACUCCGUG
rnacentral:rRNA from 1 species